GAUGAACGCUGGCGGCGUGCCUAAUACAUGCAAGUCGAGCGGACGGACGAGAAGCUUGCUGCGCUGAUGUUAGCGGCGGACGGGUGAGUAACGCGGGGAUAACCUACCUAUAAGACGGGGAUAACUUCGGGAAACCGGAGCUAAUACCGGAGAAUAUUUUGAACCGCAUGGGUCAAAAGUGAAAGACGGUCUUGCAGGCAGUUAUAGAUGGAUCCGCGCUGCAUUAGCUUGUUGGUGGGGUAACGGCUUACCAAGGCAACGACGCGUAGCCGGCCUGAGAGGGUGACCGGCCACACUGGGACUGAGAUACGGCCCAGACUCCUACGGGAGGCAUCAGUGGGGAAUAUUGCACAAUGGGCGGAAGCCUGAUGCAACAACUCCGCGUGCGGGAUGACGGCCUUCGGGUUGUAAACCGCUUUCGCCUGUGACGAAGCGUGAGUGACGGUAAUGGGUAAAGAAGCACCGGCUAACUACGUG
rnacentral:rRNA from 1 species